AACAUUAAUAACAUGACAUGAUCCAUAACAGGAUUAGAACAGGUUACUUACUUUCUUCACAAAUCAUGUAUACAAUUCAAAUUGUAUGAAAAACACUGGUUCACCUUAUAAAACGUAAUAUAAGAUCUACGAUAAGAUUAAGACAGAUUACUUACCUCAAUUCGCUUUCCAAAUUUCUCAAGUCCAGGUGACAAAUCCUUAAUCACCUAAAACAACACCAUAGGGAUCACAUUAUUCUCCAUUUAUUUAUUAUAAAAUUUCUUAGUUCAUCAUACUAUGAACUUACUUGCUUGGAUCCCAUCCAAGGAUCUAGCCCAAGUCCAAUUUACCCAAUUUAGAGCCUUUGGGGCUCGAUUUAAAACCAGAUUAGGUCCACAUGAGUUGAUUGGGUUUUUAAUUAAAGGAUUGGGCCUCGUUUAUAAUUGGGUCCAACCUUUUCUAACCAAUUGGGUCCUCUGAUUGGGUCAAUGUGGCUCAUUUGGGCCUGAGUCAAGGUUAGCCCAAGGUCAAUUCGACCUUCUGUCAGUUGAAUUGGGCUUGAAUUGGGCCUGAUUCACAAUCAAUUAGGUCUGCUGAGACCAACUCAGCUUAAUUGGGUUCGGACCUAUUUCAAUUUAACUUAAAAUUAGCUCGGAUUUAACCCAAUUUAUAGUUUGGGCUCGUCCAAACUUAGCCCAAUCUGAUUGAGCUCGGAAUUAGACUUAGCCCAGUCUAAUUGGGCUUGGGUUAGUCAAAUUUGGCUAAACCCAUUUUAUUAUUAUUUUUUUCUUUUUUUUCUUCUCUUUUCCUUAUUUUUUUCUUUUUCUUUUUCUUUCCCUUUUUCUUUCCUUUUCUUCUCUUCUCCUUUUUCUUUUCUUCUCCUUCCCGAAGCUUCCUCUCCUCCCUUCUUCUUUCAUCCCGAUCUCCCCUUCCUCUUCUCCUCUACUCUCCGGCGAAGAGAGGACGACGAUCUCCUCAUCUCUUCCCCGACGAAGGGAGGACGACAAGUGGAAGGGGGAACGGCGAGCGGAAGGGGGCCGGGCCACGACCGACGGCGUCCGCGGCCAAGCCCCACGGCAUCCCCGACCGAGCCUGCGGCGCUCUCGGCCGCGCCCGCGGUCGACGCUCGUGUCGACGGUGCUCGCGGCCGAAGCCGGCGGCCGCCGCACACGAUGACGAGCCGGCGAGUCCUCGUUCCUUUUCUUCUUUCCUUCUUUCUUCUUUCUUUUCUUCUUCUUUUCUUUGUUAUCCCGAGUCUUCCUCUCCUCCUCUCAUUCUUUCUUCUUCUCCCUUCUCCUGCCUUUCCUCUUUCCACUCUGCUCUCCUCCCCUUCCCAUCUCAAGGAAGAAGAGGAGGCGGCUCGGGAGAGGCCGAGCUUGGGGUCACGCCACGGCCGGCGGCGCCCGCGGCUGACUCCUGCGGCCGUGUCUGUGGCCGUGCUCGCAGCCGGUCCGCGGCCUGUACCUGCGGCCGAGCCGAGGCCGGCAGCGUUCACGCUGUUGGCGACGUCCCUGGCCUUGCAUGGGUAACCCCCUCCCUUUCAUCUUCUUUGCUUUCAUUCUUUCUUUGUUAUCCUAAAUAAAUCAGGAGGAGAGAAGGCAGG
rnacentral:lncRNA from 1 species